rnacentral:rRNA from 1 species
GUGCAGCAGUCGAGAAACCUCCGCAAUGCGCGAAAGCGCGACGGGGCCACCCCGAGUGCCGCCCGCUGAGGGCGGCUUUUCCCCGGUGUAGACAGCCGGGGGAAUAAGGGGAGGGCAAGUCUGGUGUCAGCCGCCGCGGUAAUACCAGCUCCCCGAGUGGUGGGGACGAUUAUUGGGCCUAAAGCGUCCGUAGUCGGCCCGGCAAGUCUCCCGUUAAAUCCAGCGAUCUAAUCGCUGGACUGCGGGAGAUACUGUCGGGCUAGGGGGCGGGAGAGGCCGGCGGUAUUCCCGGGGUAGGGGUGAAAUCCUAUAAUCCCGGGAGGACCACCAGUGGCGAAGGCUGCCGGCUGGAACGCGCCCGACGGUGAGGGACGAAAGCCGGGGGAGCGAACCGGAUUAGAUACCCCGGUAGU